GUAGUACUCCCUCCGUCCGAAAAUACUUGUCAUCAAAAUAAAUAAAGGGGAUGUAUCUAGAUGUAUUUUAGUUCUAUAUACAUUCCUUUUUAUCCAUUUUGAUGACAAGUAUUUUCGGACGGAGGGAGUACUUG
rfam:Triticum aestivum genome assembly, contig: Triticum_aestivum_CS42_TGACv1_scaffold_221263_3B